rnacentral:rRNA from 1 species
UACAGAGGGGGCAAGCGUUGUUCGGAAUUACUGGGCGUAAAGGGCGCGUAGGCGGCCUUCUAAGUCGAACGUGAAAUCCCCGGGCUCAACCCGGGAACUGCGUCCGAGACUGGAAGGCUCGAAUCCGGGAGAGGGAUGUGGAAUUCCAGGUGUAGCGGUGAAAUGCGUAGAUAUCUGGAGGAACACCGGUGGCGAAGGCGGCAUCCUGGACCGGUAUUGACGCUGAGGCGCGAAAGCCAGGGGAGCAAACGGG